rnacentral:rRNA from 1 species
ACUGCGUACCUUUUGUAUAAUGGGUCAGCGACUUACAUUCAGUAGCGAGGUUAACCGCAUAGGGGAGCCGUAGAGAAAUCGAGUCUUAAUAGGGCGUUUAGUUGCUGGGUGUAGACCCGAAACCGGGUGAUCUAUCCAUGAGCAGGUUGAAGGUUGGGUAACACUAACUGGAGGACCGAACCCACUGUCGUUGAAAAGCCAGGGGAUGACUUGUGGAUAGGGGUGAAAGGCUAAUCAAACUCGGUGAUAGCUGGUUCUCCCCGAAAGCUAUUUAGGUA